rnacentral:rRNA from 1 species
GAUUGUAACGCGUGGAUAACCUACCUUAAGGACUGGGAUAACACCGGGAAACUGGUGCUAAUACCGGAUAAGCUCAUUGGGGCACAUGCUCUGAUGAGGAAAGGAGAAAUCCGCUUUAAGAUGGAUCCGCGUCCCAUUAGCUAGUUGGCGGUGUAACGGACCACCAAGGCAUCGAUGGGUAGCCGGCCUGAGGGGGUGGACGGCCACACUGGAACUGAGACACGGUCCAGACUCCUACGGGAGGCAGCAGUGGGGAAUCUUCCGCAAUGGGCGAAAGCCUGACGGAGCAACGCCGCGUGAAUGAUGAAGGCCUUCGGGUUGUAAAAUUCUGUCUUCAGGGAAGAAAAAAAUGACGGUACCUGAGGAGGAAGCCCCGGCUAACUACGUGCCAGCAGCCGCGGUAAUACGUAGGGGGCGAGCGUUGUCCGGAAUUACUGGGCGUAAAGGGCGCGUAGGCGGUUUCUUAAGUCAGAGGUGAAAACUAUGGGCUCAACCCAUAGCCUGCCUUUGAAACUGGGAGACUUGAGGACAGGAGAGGGGAGUGGAAUUCCCAGUGUAGCGGUGAAAUGCGUAGAUAUUGGGAGGAACACCAGUGGCGAAGGCGGCUCUCUGGCCUGUAACUGACGCUGAGGCGCGAAAGCGUGGGGAGCGAACGGGAUUAGAUACCCCGGUAGUCCACGCCGUAAACGAUGGGUGCUAGGUGUAGGAGGUAUCGACCCCUUCUGUGCCGUAGUUAACACAAUAAGCACCCCGCCUGGGGAGUACGGCCGCAAGGUUGAAACUCAAAGGAAUUGACGGGGGCCCGCACAAGCGGUGGAGCAUGUGGUUUAAUUCGACGCAACGCGAAGAACCUUACCAGGGUUUGACAUCCC